GCAACAUCGCGUUGAAACAUCAGUUCUCAUAAGAUCACCAAAGUUAAGCAACGUCGAGCCUGUUCAGUACCUAAAUGGGUGACUGCUUGGCAAUACCAGGUGCUAUC